UAGGGAAUCUUCCGCAAUGGGCGAAAGCUUGCCGGAGCAACGCCGCGUGAGUGAUGAAGGUCUUCGGAUCGUAAAACUCUGUUAUUAGGGAAGAACAAAUGUGUAAGUAACUAUGUCCGUCUUGACGGUACCUAAUCAGAAAGCCACGGCUAACUACGUGCAAGCAGCCGCGGUAAUACGUAGGUGGCAAGCGUUAUCCGGAAUUAUUGGGCGUAAAGCGCGCGUAGGCGGUUUUUUAAGUCUGAUGUGAAAGCCCACGGCUCAACCGUGGAGGGUCAUUGGAAACUGGAAAACUUGAGUGCAGAAGAGGAAAGUGGAAAUCCAUGUGGAGCAGUGAAAUGCGCAGAGAUAUGGAGGAACACCAGUGGCGAAAGCGACUUUCUAGUCUGUAACUGACGCUGAUGUGCGAAAGCGUGGGGAACAAACAGG
rnacentral:rRNA from 1 species